rnacentral:misc_RNA from 1 species
GGAGCCCAGACAUUGGAAGGUUGGAG